CCUACGGGAGGCAGCAGUCGAGAAUCAUUCACAAUGGGGGAAACCCUGAUGGUGCGACGCCGCGUGGGGGAAUGAAGGUCUUCGGAUUGUAAACCCCUGUCAUGUGGGAGCAAAUUAAAACGAUCGUACCACAAGAGGAAGAGACGGCUAACUCUGUGCCAGCAGCCGCGGUAAUACAGAGGUCUCAAGCGUUGUUCGGAAUCACUGGGCGUAAGGCGUGCGUAGGCUGUUUCGUAAGUCGUGUGUGAAAGGCGCGGGCUCAACCCGCGGACGGCACAUGAUACUGCGAGACUAGAGUAAUGGAGGGGGAACCGGAAUUCUCGGUGUAGCAGUGAAAUGCGUAGAUAUCGAGAGGAACACUCGUGGCGAAGGCGGGUUCCUGGACAUUAACUGACGCUGAGGCACGAAGGCCAGGGGAGCGAAAGGGAUUAGAUACCCGGGUAGUC
rnacentral:rRNA from 1 species